AGCCCAACAGCUAGCCCCCCUUUACCAAAAACAACAUAUCCCUAUUUAUACCCCCUAAUACACCAACAUUCCCCUAAACAAACCAUUUUUCCCCCUGAGUAUGGGCGACAGAAAAGGAACUGUGGCGCUAUAGAGAAAGUACCGCAAGGGAACGCUGAAAGAGAAUUGAAAUAACCCAGUUAAGCAAAAAAAAGCAGAGAUUUUUACUCGUACCUUUUGCAUCAUGUUUUAGCUAGACAACUCAAGCAAAGAGAUCUUUAGUUUGAUUCCCCGAAACUAAGUGAGCUACUCCAAGACAGCCUAUAAAUAGGGCACACCCGUCUCUGUGGCAAAAGAGUGGGAAGAGCUUUGAGUAGAGGUGACAGACCUACCGAACUUAGUUAUAGCUGGUUGCCUGGGAAUUGGAUAGAAGUUCAGCCUCCCGGAUUCUUUACUCGCUUCUGUCUUAACCCUUUUCUGACACUAUAAGAAGCCGAGAGAGUUAGUCAAAGGGGGUACAGCCCCUUUGAAUCAAGACACAACUUUUUCAGGAGGAUAAAGAUCAUAUUUAAACAAGGUAAAAUGUUCUGGUGGGCCUAAAAGCAGCCAUCCCCAUAGAAAGCGUUAAAGCUCAGACAUAUCAAAUCCCUCUUAUCCUGAUAAUAAAAUCUUAUUCCCCUAACCUUACCAGGCCUUCCCAUGCAAACAUGGGAGUGACCAUGCUAAUAUGAGUAAUAAGAGAGUCCUCGACUCUCUCCCUGCACACCUGUAAAUCGGAAUGGACCUUCCACCGAAUCUUAACGGCCCCAAAUAAAGAGGGUAAUGAACAACAAAUUAAACAACUAGAAGAACAUCCAAUAACUAACCGUUAACCCCACACUGGCGUGCCCCUAGGGAAAGACUAAAAGAAAAAAGAAGGAACUCGGCAAACACAUGAAGCCUCGCCUGUUUACCAAAAACAUCGCCUCUUGCAAAAUUAAUAAAUAAGAGGUCCCGCCUGCCCUGUGACUAUUAGUUUAACGGCCGCGGUAUUUUGACCGUGCGAAGGUAGCGCAAUCACUUGUCUUUUAAAUGGAGACCUGUAUGAAUGGCACGACGAGGGCUUAGCUGUCUCCUUUUUCAGGUCAAUGAAAUUGAUCUCCCCGUGCAGAAGCGGGGAUAAAUACAUAAGACGAGAAGACCCUAUGGAGCUUUAGACACCAAGGCAGUUUAUGUUAAAUACCUUCUCACAAGGAGCCAAACAAAAUAAUCCCUGCCCUAAUGUCUUUGGUUGGGGCGACCGCGGGGAAACAAAAAACCCCCAUGUGGAAUGAGAACACCCUCUUACAGCUGAGAGCUCCCGCUCUAAUAAACAGAAUUUCUGACCAAUCAGAUCCGGCAACGCCGAUCAACGGACCGAGUUACCCUAGGGAUAACAGCGCAAUCCCCUUUUAGAGCCCAUAUCGACAAGGGGGUUUACGACCUCGAUGUUGGAUCAGGACAUCCUAAUGGUGCAGCCGCUAUUAAGGGUUCGUUUGUUCAACGAUUAAAGUCCUACGUGAUCUGAGUUCAGACCGGAGUAAUCCAGGUCAGUUUCUAUCUAUGACAUGAUCUUUUCUAGUACGAAAGGACCGAAGAGAAGAGGCCCAUUCUCCAAGAACGCCUCACCCCUACCUAAUGAAAACAACUAAAAUAGGCCAAAGGGCAUACCCCCCGUUCCUAAGAAAACGGCAU
rnacentral:rRNA from 1 species